GCGGGCGUGGCGAAAUUGGCAUACGCGCCAGGUUUAGGUCCUGGUCCCGAGAGGGGUGGAGGUUCGAGUCCUCUCGCCCGCACCA
rnacentral:tRNA from 1 species